CCUGGUGCUCAGCCCGAGGGAUGGGAGGCUGCUCUUCAGACGGAUGCUGAUGACGUCACAAUUUGGGCUGUCGCAAGAAAUUCCGAGUCUGUUGAUGUCUCUCACCCGUGGCAACAUCCUCGUCAUUGCAAUCAAGAACGACGGGGCCCUCAACCUGACCCCGACGGCGCGCUCCCUCCUUCAGUCGUUUGGCGUGAA